rnacentral:rRNA from 1 species
GAUCAUGGCUCAGGAUGAACGCUAGCUACAGGCUUAACACAUGCAAGUCGAGGGGCAGCAUGAUCGAAGCUUGCUUGAUGAUGGCGACCGGCGCACGGGUGAGUAACGCGUAUCCAACCUUCCCUAUAGUAGAGAAUAGCCCGGCGAAAGUCGGAUUAAUGCUCUAUGUUGUAUUUAGAGGACAUCUAAAGAAUACCAAAGGUUUACCGCUAUAGGAUGGGGAUGCGUCUGAUUAGGUAGUAGGCGGGGUAACGGCCCACCUAGCCGACGAUCAGUAGGGGUUCUGAGAGGAAGGUCCCCCACAUUGGAACUGAGACACGGUCCAAACUCCUACGGGAGGCAGCAGUGAGGAAUAUUGGUCAAUGGACGAAAGUCUGAACCAGCCAAAGUAGCGUGCAGGAUGACGGCCCUAUGGGUUGUAAACUGCUUUUAUAUAGGGAUAAAGUCGGGGACGUGUCCCCGUUUGUAGGUACUAUAUGAAUAAGGACCGGCUAAUUCCGUGCCAGCCGCCGC